UCCGAUUUAACAUCGGCAGUCUCUCUAGAGUGCCCAACCUAAUGAUGGCAACUAAAGACAAGGGUUGCGCUCGUUGCCGGACUUAACCGAACAUCUCACGACACGAGCUGACGACAGCCAUGCAGCACCUGUGUCCUCCGUCCCCGAAGGGCCUCUCCCUCUUUCAAGGGAGAUUCAGAGGCAUGUCAAGGCUAGGUAAGGUUUUGCGCGUUGCUUCGAAUUAAACCACAUAAUCCACCGCUUGUGCGGGUCCCCGUCAAUUCCUUUGAGUUUUAAUCUUGCGACCGUACUCCCCAGGCGGGAUGCUUAACGCGUUAGCUAGACUACAGCAGGGGUCAAUACCCGCUACAGUGAGCAUCCAUCGUUUAGGGCGUGGACUAC
rnacentral:misc_RNA from 1 species